rnacentral:rRNA from 1 species
GACGAACGCUGGCGGCGCGCCUAACACAUGCAAGUCGAACGAGCGAGAGAGAGCUUGCUUUCUCGAGCGAGUGGCGAACGGGUGAGUAACGCGUGAGGAACCUGCCUCAAAGAGGGGGACAACAGUUGGAAACGACUGCUAAUACCGCAUAAGCCCACGGUGCCGCAUGGCACAGAGGGAAAAGGAGCAAUCCGCUUUAAGAUGGCCUCGCGUCCGAUUAGCUAGUUGGUGAGGUAACGGCCCACCAAGGCGACGAUCGGUAGCCGGACUGAGAGGUUGAACGGCCACAUUGGGACUGAGACACGGCCCAGACUCCUACGGGAGGCAGCAGUGGGGAAUAUUGCACAAUGGGGGAAACCCUGAUGCAGCGACGCCGCGUGGAGGAAGAAGGUCUUCGGAUUGUAAACUCCUGUUGUUGGGGAAGAUAAUGACGGUACCCAACAAGGAAGUGACGGCUAACUACGUGCCAGCAGCCGCGGUAAAACGUAGGUCACAAGCGUUGUCCGGAAUUACUGGGUGUAAAGGGAGCGCAGGCGGGAAGACAAGUUGGAAGUGAAAUCUAUGGGCUCAACCCAUAAACUGCUUUCAAAACUGUUUUUCUUGAGUAGUGCAGAGGUAGGCGGAAUUCCCGGUGUAGCGGUGGAAUGCGUAGAUAUCGGGAGGAACACCAGUGGCGAAGGCGGCCUACUGGGCACCAACUGACGCUGAGGCUCGAAAGUGUGGGUAGCAAACAAGAUUAGAUACCCUGGUAGUCCACACCGUAAACGAUGAUAAAUAGGUGUUGGAGGAUUGACCCCUUCAGUGCCGCAGUAACACAAUAAGUAUCCCACCUGGGGAGUCCGACCGCAAGGUUGAAACUCAAAGGAAUUGACGGGGGCCCGCACAAGCAGUGGAGUAUGUGGUUUAAAUUCGACGCAACGCGAAGAACCUUACCAAGUCUUGACAUCCCUUGACAGGCAUAGAAAUAUGUUUUCUCUUCGGAGCAAGGAGACAGGUGGUGCAUGGUUGUCGUCAGCUCGUGUCGUGAGAUGUUGGGUUAAGUCCCGCAACGAGCGCAACCCUUAUGGUCAGUUACUACGUAAGAGGACUCUGGCCAGACUGCCGUUGACAAAACGGAGGAAGGUGGGGAUGACGUCAAAUCAUCAUGCCCUUUAUGACUUGGGCUACACACGUACUACAAUGGCGUUAAACAAAGAGAAGCAAGACCGCGAGGUGGAGCAAAACUCAGAAACAACGUCCCAGUUCGGACUGCAGGCUGCAACUCGCCUGCACGAAGUCGGAAUUGCUAGUAAUCGUGGAUCAGCAUGCCACGGUGAAUACGUUCCCGGGCCUUGCACA